GACGUAGGGGGGCGAGCGUUGUCCGGAUUUAUUGGGCGUAAAGAGCUCGUAGGCGGCUCAGAAAGUCGGGUGUGAAACCUCCAGGCUCAACCUGGAGACGCCACCUGAUACUGCUGUGGCUAGAGUCCGGUAGGGGAACACGGAAUACCCGGUGUAGCGGUGAAAUGCUUAGAUAUCGGGUGGAACACCGGUGGCGAAGGCGGGUCUCUGGGCCGAUACUGACGCUGAGGAGCGAAAGCGUGGGGAGCGAACAGG
rnacentral:rRNA from 1 species